AACGGGAUUUAGUAGACAGAAACCUGGUGGAAGAUUACUAAUGAGAGUGGCGAACGGGUGAGUAACGCGUGAGCAACCUGCCUAUGACAGUGGGAUAGCCUCGGGAAACCGGGAUUAAUACCGCAUAAAAUCGUAGAAACACAUGUUUUAACGGUCAAAGAUUUAUCGGUCAUAGAUGGGCUCGCGUCUGAUUAGCUAGUUGGUGAGAUAACAGCCCACCAAGGCGACGAUCAGUAGCCGGUCUGAGAGGAUGAACGGCCACAUUGGAACUGAGACACGGUCCAAACUCCUACGGGAGGCAGCAGUGGGGAAUAUUGCACAAUGGGGGAAACCCUGAUGCAGCGACGCCGCGUGAACGAAGAAGGUAUUCGUAUCGUAAAGUUCUGUCCUAUGGGAAGAUAAUGACAGUACCAUAGAAGAAAGCUCCGGCUAAAUACGUGCCAGCAGCCGCGGUAAUACGUAUGGAGCGAGCGUUGUCCGGAAUUAUUGGGCGUAAAGGGUACGCAGGCGGUUUAAUAAGUCGAAUGUUAAAGAUCGGGGCUCAACCCCGUAAAGCAUUGGAAACUGAUAAACUUGAGUAGUGGAGAGGAAAGUGGAAUUCCUAGUGUAGUGGUGAAAUACGUAGAUAUUAGGAGGAAUACCAGUAGCGAAGGCGACUUUCUGGACACAAACUGACGCUGAGGUACGAAAGCGUGGGGAGCAAACAGGAUUAGAUACCCUGGU
rnacentral:rRNA from 1 species